rnacentral:tRNA from 1 species
AGCCUUAAGGUGAUAUAUUCAUGUCGAAUUGCAAAUUCGGAGGUGUAGGAGGUUUACCCUACUAAGGCUU